AUGGCAGUAUCUGUGGGAGUAAAAACACGGUCUUCAGAAAAGAUCGUGCUACCUGUCGAUGCAGAUAGAACCACGGUUGUACUUGCCCAAGAAUCAGCCCCACCACACAUAACCCACACUCAUGAAGAUUGUACCCCUACCCAGUUGGACAGAGAACCAGCUACACCCCUUCUAACCCCAACCCCAGCAGAUAGACACCCAGUUCCCGUUGACACAGCACCGUCUCCACCACAGAGCACCCAAACACGAGCAGUUAGUAAGGCAACUGCAGUGCCCCAAUCACGAGGACCACCACUCCGAACCCGAAGUCAAUGCUUAAAGCAGAAGAAGAAUUGUUCUCAGGAUGCAAAUGAAACUCCAAUGGCGCAACAUAACGCGGAUAAAAUAUUGGAGAAGAGUACCCUGUUAUGCAAUGGUAAAGGAAGUAAUGCAGAUAAGGUUCAAGAUAGUCAGACAUCCAUGUUGGUCUCCAAGAAAGUUGAUAAAAACUAUAUUGAGGACACUGAGACAACCCCAGAGUCCUGUCUUGAUGUAGUGUUCGAGUUACUGGCUACCACUGCUGGCACCAGCUCUUCGAACUCAUUUCCUGAAUCAGUUCGGCUUCUUGAGUCUCAACUUCAAGUUGAAAUACAUCGAUCAGAUGUUAUGCGACAGGAAGCCGAAGGACUAAGGAAGUCCCUGCAGAAUUCAGAUGCAUACUUUCUGGUGCAACAGUAG
rnacentral:rRNA from 1 species